rnacentral:rRNA from 1 species
AAUAGAUACCCCGGUAGUCCACGCCGUAAACGAUGAGUGCUAAGUGUUAGAGGGUUUCCGCCCUUUAGUGCUGCAGCUAACGCAUUAAGCACUCCGCCUGGGGAGUACGGCCGCAAGGCUGAAACUCAAAGGAAUUGACGGGGGGCCCGCACAAGCGGUGGAGCAUGUGGUUUUAAUUCGAAGCAACGCGAAGAACCUUACCAGGUCUUGACAUCCUCUGCCAACCCCUAGAGAUAGGGGCGUUCCCCCUUCGGGGGGACAGAGUGACAGGUGGUGCAUGGUUGUCGUCAGCUCGUGUCGUGAGAUGUUGGGUUAAGUCCCGCAACGAGCGCAACCCUUGAUCUUAGUUGCCAGCAUUUAGUUGGGCACUCCAAGGUGACUGCCGGUGACAAACCGGAGGAAGGUGGGGAUGACGUCAAAUCAUCAUGCCCCCUUAUGACCUGGGCUACACACGUGCUACAAUGGAUGGUACAAAGAGCUGCGAACCCGGCGAGGGUAACGCCAAUCUCAUAAAGCCAUUCUCAGUUCGGAUUGUAGGCUG